rnacentral:lncRNA from 1 species
AGAGAAAGUCUCCUGCAUCUUGUGCUCCCUUACCACUUUUUGCUUAAUAGAUUUUGUUGUUUCAAAUUCUAAAAGGAAGGAAAUUAAUUCUUAACCAAAUGAUAUUUCUCAAACAGGGUCAGUGCCCUCUCUUGGGGUGCAAAUCCUAUGUAUCUUAUUCCAACGAGUAACUCUGUAGUUAAUCAUUGAUACGGCAAGUUCAGGCUUUUGCUCUUCCUCUUUGAACAUCAGUGGGUGCAUUUUAUUUCUCUCUCUUGCUCUCUCUCUCUUUUUUUUUGUUUUUUUUAAAGCAGGAUUAAGGAAGCCAAACUCUCAGCCUCAUGAAGAAAGAGCUCAUUUAUUGCAACUAAAAUAUCUUUUCUUGGAAGGCCAUGACCUCAGAAAAGUAAGCACUUUACUUUUUCUAAGGUAGCGAAUAUUUCUUCUCUCUUACUUCACACAAGUAUUGAACCAUAUAUUAUUCCUGCUUGAUCCCCUGAUCUGUUCACUCCUGGCUCCUUGUUCCUCUCUCAUUUUCAAGUGAGAGCUUCAAAUUGCACAGGAAUUCCAACUGCCCCAUUCCUUUUACUGUUGACAUUUCUAUGAGCUUCAAGUACUCAACGAGAAUUCUGUUUCUGUGUGUUUACCAACUGAAUUGGCAUGGACAGAAGGGCACAUACCCCACACCAUUUGCAGGAACUAUUUCUUAUGAUCAGUAAUUUUAAAGCAAUGCACCUCCUCGGGCUCUUAAAUAUGUCAUCCCAGGAGCUGCUGCUCCUUUUUUCCCAUCUCCUUCAUCAUCCAUGUGUCAGACAUGCCUCAGGCCUGCUGGGCAUCUGCUGUUUAUCAGUGGGCCCCUCUCCACCCCCAGCCUCCUGGGAAAGCCCUCUGAGGAGUGAAUUAUUGGAAACACAAGCAUUCACAGAGAAUACAAUGCAAAUAUUUUAGUUCCCAGUUUGGCAGAAACAGGUAGUGAACUAACUGAAGGUUUACUCACUGAAGGCUUGUUCAUAGCCAAAAAUAAAAACAAAAAAUAAGUAACUUCUCUGCAUCUGUGGUUACUAAAGUCCUCUGGGAGCUUAAAAAGGUAAUUUUUGUAUGUUUUAUUUGAUCUUUGUUUUGAGAAAUAACUAAGGACCACACAUUUUCUAUAAUUCUAGUGAUAUUUUGAUGAAUAAAACAUCUGCAAGGCAAUGCCACAGACUUACUGAGGGAGACAAAUAUAUAUAACAAGACAAUUAUAGCAGGUGCGAAUAAUGCAAUAAUAAUGUUGUUUACCAAUAGGAGUGCAAAGGAGAGUCCCUUAGCACAGCCUAUAAUGGAGUGUGGAAAGGAGAAACCAAGAAAUUCUCUGGAAAGAAAUGGCAUCAAAAUUGAGGCUUAAAGAUCUAAUAGUUGCUAUCUUUUUAAAAAGGAAGAGAUUGGUAGAAAAGAGAAAAAACUUUUUUAUUUCUGUUGUCCUUUAACUAGUAUUUAUUAUUAGCAUGCCCUGGGAAAUCUGUAACUACUGCUUCUUCAGAAUUCAUUACACCUGGUGAGUCCCAUGGGCCGAGGCCCCCAUAUAAUUUCUAUGCCUUUGCUUAAUUAAGACACUGUGAUAGACUGGGCAGACAUUUCCUGGCAAUUUACGAUCAGCUGGAGGAGCUUAAGUCUUAAAGCAAUGCUGUGAAAAUAUGCAGUUAUGUUUAUAUAAAAAGUAGUGAAAUUAUAACCUUUUCAUGUCUUGAUCAGCCAAAAGUUGAAAAAGUACAUUGUUGUGGUUGACAAGCUGCAUUUAUAGUUUUUGUUCUUUUCCUAAUCACUGAAAGGCAUUCACAAAUAAACAGGAAGAGAGAGACACACACUCUGAGUUUGACACUUGCUCUUUUUCAUUAGGUAUUUGGAUUCCAGGUCAAUGUGAAGAACUUCCCUAAGACACAUUGCUGGCUAACACUGGGAUUAGUUACUCAAAGAGCUUUGUAGUGUGACCGUCAUUAAGACUUUUAUGGAUGUCUUUAUUUAAUCAGAUAGGUUUAGCAGAGUUCAGCCUAUAGACUGUGGAAUAGACAGAAUGAGCCCAAUGCUUGUCUUAUAAAAUGUUUUGAAUUUGUAAGUUCUAAGUGUAACACUUAGAUCUUUCACAGAUAUCACCAUGUAGUACAGUGUUAUUCACCUAUCCAAGUUCAUAGAAGAUUCCAGUCUCUGCACCAAGUGUUUUCCAUCUAUAACAGGGAUAAAGUUUUAGAGGUGAUGGUAUCAGAAGGUGAAGACUUAGGGAGGUGAUUAGGUCAUGGGCGCAGAUCCACAUGAAUGGGAUUAGUGCCUUUAUAAGUCACUCAAGAGAAAGCCCUCGCCUCUUCUGCCAUGUGAGGACACAGUGAGAACGUACCAAUUAUGAACCAGAAAACAGACCCUCAGCAGACAUGGAAUUUGCUGGUGCCUUCAUCUUGGACUUCCCAGAUUUCAGAAUGGUGAGAAAUAAAUUUUUGUUUUUUAUAAG